rnacentral:lncRNA from 1 species
AUGCGGUUGUGUUUGUUUAAUAUAUGUAAUCUUCCAAACUGAAGCAAAGUUGUUGCUUGUCUGUUUAAAUUAAUGAUCUCCAGCUGAUCUGAUGAUUUCCUUUUUAGUCUUAUAAACUAUGAUUUACUGACCAAAUUAUUGUUAAUGAACUACUUUAUAAAUCUAUAUGCUAUUCAUUUGGUAUGAUCGAUUUUAAAAAGAGGCAGCAGCUGCCAACUAUACGCCCUGAGUGCCAACUUGCAAUAAAAUAGUUAAUGACCAUCAAAUGAUGAACUUACUCAAAGAAAAAAGAAAAAAAGGCCCGACUACCAAAUGAUGAACCCUCACAUAAGAAUUAAAGAUGGUAAGCUGUCUGAAUCAUCCCAUUUCGUAAAGAAAAUGUGGAACAUCUCUCUCUUUUUUUUUUUGAUGAAAUGUGGAGGAAGUAAAGGCACUUCCCUGUAUUUUUAUUAACGAGAACAGAACAUCUCUUUUCAUAAUACAUUUGGCCAACUUAAGUA